AAAGCUGGGCGGCCCACUCGGCCCGUCUUGAAGCACGGACCAAGGAGUCUAACACGUGUGCAAGUCAUUGGGUCUUUACGAAACCCAAAGGCGUAUUGAACGAAAAGGCUGUCCUCGUGAUGGCUUAGGGAGGAUGAAGUGGUCUUUGUGGUCGCUUCCGCACUCCCGGGGCAUCUCGUCCUACUUCUGCUUGUCGGUUGAAGGUGAGGUGCACCUAGAGCACACGCGUUGGUACCCGAAAGAUGGUGAACUAUGCCUGGCCAGGACGAAGUCAGGGGAAACCCUGAUGGAGGUCCGUAGCGAUUCUGACGUGCAAAUCGAUCGUCAGAGCUGGGUAUAGGGGCGAAAGG
rnacentral:rRNA from 1 species